ensembl:misc_RNA Metazoa_SRP Metazoan signal recognition particle RNA
GCCGGGUGCAGUGGCGCGCGCCUGUAAUCCAAGCUGCUGGGAGGCUGAGGCUGGCGGAUCGCUUGAGUUCAGGGGUUCUGGGCUGCAGUGGACUAUGUCGAUCGGGUGUCCGCGCUAAGUUCGGUAUCGAUAUGGUGCUCCUGGGGGAGCUUGGGACCGCCAGGUCGUCUAAGGAGGGGUGAACCGGCCCAGGUCGGAGACGGAGCAGGUCAAAGCCCCCGUGCCGAUCAGUAGUGGGGUCGCACCUGUGAAUAGACACUGCAGUGCAGCCUGAGCAAUACAGUGAAACUCAGUCUUUU